rnacentral:rRNA from 1 species
AGAAUCAACGCUGGCGGCGUGCCUAACACAUGCAAGUCGAACGAGAAAGUGGAGCAAUCCAUGAGUAAAGUGGCGCACGGGUGAGUAACACGUGACUAACCUACCUUUUAGUGGGGGGAUAACCUAGGGAAACCUGGGCUAAUACCGCAUAAUACUUACGAGUCAAAGCAGCAAUGCGCUGAAAGAGGGGGUCGCGGCCGAUUAGCUAGUUGGCGGGGUAAUGGCCCACCAAGGCAGUGAUCGGUAUCCGGCCUGAGAGGGCGCACGGACACACUGGAACUGAAACACGGUCCAGACUCCUACGGGAGGCAGCAGUGGGGAAUUUUGCGCAAUGGGGGAAACCCUGACGCAGCAACGCCGCGUGGAGGAUGAAGUCCCUUGGGACGUAAACUCCUUUCGAUCGGGACGAUAUGACGGUACCGGAAGAAGAGCCCGGCUAACUUCGCGCCAGCAGCCGC